rnacentral:rRNA from 1 species
UAAGCGCUUAGGCGCUCCGACCGCGACCCCAGGUCAGGCGGAUACCCCG